AUCAUCCACAUCAAAUUUCAGUCCAACAAAAAUACAAAUGCAGUUCGAUCAUUGGAAAGUGUGGACUAAUUAAUCUUUCAAUUAGCGACCCCGAUAAUCAAACUGAUUGUAAACGAAAAUCGGUCUCCGUUACAGCCUGUCUCCGUACCGUGUCUGUAAGCGAAAUUAACCUUCAAUUAUCUCCUCGGUAGAUCAGUGGCACGGCAAUAGUCGAAAUGUCGGCCACCGCAUGCCGAUUGGCAUCCACAAGUCUACUUCGAUCUGUACAAAGUGGUAAAAACGGCUUGCCGGAUUGACCAACGGAGAAAGAGAGGUGCGAAGAUCAAACCGACAGAAGAAAAUAUCAACAAACAGUUAACGAUCGAGUGAUUGGGAGAAAAAAAUGACGAUGAUCGGCACAAUUAUGGCGCAAAUUGAGAAGGGGCCGACAGUGGCAAAAACUGGAGUUGUUUACCAUUUUUUUAAAUCGCAAAAUUGCAGAUGUUUUACUUGAUUAGAAACGGUUUAAAUCCGAAAUCGCAGUAACCCAGUUGAUCGCUAUCGGCAUCAUUUGGCAGCUGUCACCAUGGUUACAACGAAGAGAAGUUCAGGCCUACCAACAAAAACGCGAUGCGUUUCAUAACCGCAAUCACAACUGCGACGAUGCGAUGCGCACUGGAUUAUCUUUCCAAGUUGCGGUUUAGUUUAAAACCCACACACACACGCAUCAUUGCCUAGCUACGGCGUCAUCGUCUUGGUAAUUGUUUACGGUGGUCUAGUCAAUGGCCGACACGUGGAGAAUGAUUGCGCAAAUGCUCUUUGCUCUUCGCGGAGUGUGGGUUGGGUUUAACCUUUCACCGAUGCGCUGCGCGGCAUAAAGAUGGUUUACUAAACGCACCCCUUUCGAAUUUUCUCAUAAAAUGAGAUUCAAGAUGAACCGUGUAAAUCCUACAAAUCGUGAUUGUUCGUCCAUUGCGUGAAACGAGAUUAUAAAUGAUUAAAUUUGAUGAGCUGUAAAACCCAUCAAUCGUCCGUGAGCUCCAGGCUCCGAGGAGGAUACUUUCUCCUGCAAUUACUCGCAUUUUUAACGAACCAGUACAAUAACAUGGCCCCGAAAGUGGGACCAACUGCUGGGUUAGAUAAUUUUGGCGGUGUUCCGUCAGAGGGACGACACCAGCCGGGCUUAUCUAACCUCCGGCGAGGCGCAACGCGAGCAGAUGGCUCACAGCUAGGGCUCCCUCAUAACACCUAUCGAACGCGCUCCAAUCAAGUCAGCCGUGAAAUUUGACGCUUUCCGCCUGUCAUUGGCACUGACAGCCGCAACUGUCAUUGUUUUUUGUUCGCUUCACACUGCUUGCUUUGAUGAGCGUCGGUGAGACGGUUUGGAUUGAUUAGUUUCACCAUGAUAGGAGGAAUUCUUCGUUUUUUUGAAACACAAUGAGCCGUCCCACGCGCUCAUCGCAGUCGCCCGAUUACAAACGUUUAAUUGAUAAAUCAUAACAACAACACCAAACAAGCAAUGCAAAGCGAGCGAAAAUGCAGAAAUUGCACCAACUGUCAUGUAAGUCAGCAGCUUUUUUUGCGGCGAAAUUCGCACGGUCCUGGAGCCAUCUUCAUUAUGGAAAUUUUUGACACGGAAUGAACGGAUUCCCACGAUGGCAAAACGGUUCCCAGCACCGCAGACGUGGGCGUAGACGUAGAUGGAGGCGGUCCCGAUGUUCGCAUAUCUCGAUAUCGAAAUCAAGUUGUGCCAUGCGUCUGCACCUCUUCGUUUAAGUCUUUGGCGCAGCUACUUUCGCUUUCGCAAAGCCUACUUGCACUUUUGCGAAGCACGGAUUGCGCACAGCUUGGCAGAUUGCUGCGAUUGAUUGCGCACGAUGCCCGCGCAUACUUUGUUGCUAAUGAGGGUGAGUUUUGAGGUUAGAAUUUGUUUUGUUUUUCAAUAAAAAUAAGGAAUUGGCUCUGGAAUUUCGUCUGAUUGGCAGGUACCGGAAUAGUUCGAGUUUUUUUUUACAGCUAUGCGCCCAGCUAAUUGCGAAACGGGUGUUGGUGCAUGCGAAGACUUGCACUGGACUGGAACGAACGUUGAUGCGAUCGAUCGAUUCCGAUUGGUUUUGACCUGACCGCGUUUAAUUACCAUAGGUGAAUAAAACCACCGGUCAGUUGAAGAGCGGCAGUUUGUAGUGAUUUGGAAAUUGUAGUGUGAACAUCGCGAGCUAUUGGAUACGAGUUUUUCUUACGAAAUCGAUCGAUUGAAGGAGGGUGCUAGUGAUCUACCUAGGAAGAAUCAUGGGUGGAAUCGUUUCGCGAGUGUUCCGCGGUCCGGACUCUCAGUGUGGCAAAUGUCAACGCAGCUGUUGCGUCUGCCUGGACACUAACAUGGAGUUGACGCAGCGACGGUUGCUACGGCUGGAGGCACGGGAGCGGCGGCGAAGUAUGGCACUAACCUUGGGAUUGGGAUUGACCGAUGAAGAGGAAGAAGAAGAGAUUGCAUUGCAAGAAGCGGCAGCUCGAGCAUUGCGGCGUCAGCUUACGAUCAGAAGAACUCGACCAACUACGACGAGAAGACGUCAGCAACAACAGCCUCAACAGCAGCAGCAACAACAACAACAACAACAGCAAGACGAACCUGAAGAAGAGCAGGAGGAACAAGAGCAACCUGCACAACGACCCGCUGCGAGACGGCGUCAACAGCCUCAGCAACAGGAACAGGAGGAAGAACAGGAACAACCGGCGCAACCGCGACAACGUCCAGCGCAAAGACGCCGUCAACAGCCUCAACCUGAGCAAGAAGAGGAGGAGCCGGAACCGCAGCAGCCACAACGUCGCCAACAAGGUCGUAGAGCUCAGAACCAAGGUGGUCAGAACGAGGAAGAAGAGCAGGAGGAGGAACCACAGCCAGCUCGGCGUCCGGCUCGAACACGAACUCAACGUCGUCAGAACCCACCUCCACCAGAAGAAGAGGAGGAGGAAGAAGAACCUGAGCCGCCACGUCCCAGAAGGACUCAGCGUCGACAGCAAAGACGUCAGGAAAACGAAGAGGAGGAACAGCAGGAAAGCGAAGAGGAGGAACCUAGACGUCCGAGGCGUCGUCCUUCGCAGCGUCGCUCGCAACGCCGCCGUUCAGAAGAGGAAGAAGAAGAGGAAUCUGAAGCACGGCGAGCGAGACGUCGCCAGAGACGCGAACGUCGACGUGACGAAUCUACCGAUGAUUCCGAGUUGGAAGAUGAACUUCGGCAACUUCGUCUACAGCGCCGCAGGGAACAGCGUAUGCGCGAGCAAUUCGAACGAGACCUGCUUCUGAAAGAGAACAUCUGCCGCAAUGAGUCGUUCCGAUGUCAUCCUCCGCCACCGCCGCCGCCAGUAGCCGUCCAGCCGCAGCCCCGUGAACAGGAACCUCCGGUCGCUCGUGGUCCGAACGUCCGUCGAAUGGUCGCUUGUUACGAACUGAUGCGUUCCGACGUGAGCGAGUGCGAAUCGCAGUCGAUGCAGAAUCUACUGAAUCGCGUCGAUAGUCACCCCAUGCGUGACUCCCUUCGUCGUAAAGAACGUUGCUGACUCGCCCCUAUCGUCCAAGGUCGCCCUAUUCAACAAUGUCACCAAAAGCCAUAUCCAGUCGCAAAUAGCGAACCCCUUCUCGGAAUCCCAAGGCGAACGCGGCAUGCAGAGACUGAAGAUCAGCAAAGAGGAAUACGGCAGAAAUCGCAUGCGAUCAAAGGCGGCUGACGUCGACCGACGGAGAACUUCUGCCGCCGCCGCCCAUGGCCUACUAGUCCAGUAUCAUAGGCGAUCGUUAUCGCAUGCCGUCGUGGCGCCACUACCAGAGUGCAUCGCAUUGCAUCGUUGCCCAGUAACCUCGCUCUGCAGCAACAAAAAAAAUUCUCGUUCAAGUGAGGAGAACGUCUGCCGCUUUGCCUCCACAAUGCAUCUCAUUAUCGCGCCUCCUUUUGGCUCUUCGACGUAGUAAUUAACCACUUAGCGAAAACCGCAAAACCAAAUCGCAAUAGCAACUGCUUUAGAAAGAAUUUUCCAUUCAGUAUGAGUUCAUUUUGAUUACACCAUUCAGAUAUAAUUGCGUUAGAUUUCUCAUAUUGGCAACUAUGUAUGUAUAGGUUGUGCGCAGUCGCAGGGAAAGAACGCUUGAACAGUAUUUUAGUCGCACUUCUCUCCCGUAUGAGAACUGUCAAACUAAUCCUAGUCACAGCGCACCAGUCCAUCAGUUUAGUAAAAGUAUGAGCUUUCUCUUCCCGUUUCCGCGCGCUUGUUCUGUUUAGGCUAAGCGAUUGUAUUAUUUUGUGUAUUUCGUAGCUUUGUAAUCGUUAGAUUGUAAUAAAAUAUAACCGUAGUUUGAUAAGCUUAAAA